GGCUGGGGCUGUGCCCGCCUCUGGACUGCACCUUUCCGUGCCAUCCGCAGGGAAUCGCCAGAACCGGAGCGAUGGCCGCCUGCAGUGACAUCGAUGGGGGGCGGAUUUGGUGCCCCGAGACGUGUGCGAGUAAGAGCUCAGCCCCGCGCUGAUGGAAACGCGCUCACAGUCCGGUACGGUUUCACCGGUUUACAAACGCCGUCCAUUAAAACACGAUUAUUACCAAACGGCUUCUUUCUAUGCGAGAUCCUCAAAUCCGUUGUUUACAUUGCACCUAUAUUAACAAACCACAAAAUAAGCCCGUAGCGUUUUUAAGAGAGGUUUUAGGCUGGGAACGUGGAAACUUGCCUGGACGAAACGACACGGAAGCUGAAUGAAGGCGAGGAGAUUAUCUGUGUCUGAAGGUUGGGCAUUAGCCGCAAUGAAAAGAUUGAUUUUUCCGAUGCUUUUUUUCCCCCCAGACGGUUAUUUCCAAGGCUGCUGGCAGUGUAAGCUCACUCUCUGAGCAGAUACUGAAGCCCGUGUGUUGUAUGUAAGGGUGCUAUUCAAGGAGGAGGCGCUCAGUGCCGCAGAGUGCCUGCUGGCUUCGGGUGCACGUGUUCUUACAGCAUCACUCGCACUCGAAAAAUACUUGUUAUUCAUGCUCAGAAGUUACUCGAGCAUGACUUGCAGUGGAAAAUUGUGCAAAAAUAAUGUUUCUUUGCGAUAACUGAUCCCAGUCUGGUGUUUCAUAGCUGAUAGCCUGGAAACUUGCCUGUGCAGAGUCCCUCCCCGUCAGAGAUGUUCCACGAGGCUGAAGGAAACAGAGCGGUGAGGAGAAGAGGCGGAUGUGCAGGGGUUGUUCACAUGCUGAAAGCUUUGAGUCACAGCAGCUCUGACGCUUUUCUGAAGAAAUAGUUCUGCAAUCGUUACAGUUGCCACCCAAACCCUACCCUGGGUGUUCUAUGGCUUACAGCAACCUCCAAACUCGCACUGCGUGUAGUGUGAAUGCUGUGUCAGGUAAGCGUGUGUAAGUCAUCCUACAGCAGCCGGUCUGGCAAAACACGUCUGAUUUGGCGGUCAAGGAGGUGAGUCCCAAAACCCAGCAAGGUCUGUAAAAGAGGAGCUGGCUGUUCCGUUUGGGCUAACGGGCAUUUUCCUUACCUACAGCCCAGCUGACUGCCAGCUCCCAGCUCAUCCCCCGAUUAGGCGCUGAUGAGCGUUUUCUGAGCUACUUACUAAGAGCUGAACGUAAACCACAAGUGCUUUUGAAUGCUGACCUCUCAUUUAUGUUACUUUCCGAACUGAAUAGCAUCUUAUGCGCAUUAAAAUAGUUUUUAAUAGAUGCUUGAACGAUAAUCAUGUAUGCAUCUUGUUCUCUUCUCCUUUUGGUCAACGCGAAAGCCGGGCUGUUGGAUGCUCCCAUUUGUUGGCCAGGAGUUCUCCUCAGGGCUGCUGGGCCCCAGCAGAGUGCUGGGCUGUGCAUCGGACCCCAGAGAGGUUCAGGAGCUCCUGCUGUUGUUCAACCUCCUCUGGCUUUGGCCGUCGGAGGUGUGUUACUGCCACAGCUGAGGUGGAAGUGCCACUGCGAGGACUUUCGUUGUCCUUGUUUUGUGAUGUUCUUAACUCCGUGAUGUGGUGUGAAAGUUCCCCGUUCAUGGGUGUGAAAAUGCAUUCAGACUUGAUGCUAUCAGUCCCAGAAGUUAGAAGUACUGCUCGUUUCUCAUUGGAUAAGCAUAUAGACCACACAUUCCAUAACUGAAUGUCCUCUGCUAAGUUCAGGGGUUACUUGAAAUUAACGCUCAUUAUUCACUAGUAUUUGCACUAGUAAAGUACAAGUGCUCAAAUAUUUGCAGAAAGCAAAAGUGAAGCAGCUGUAAACAUGGCUGAAUUUGCUUCUGAAUUUUAAUGCAUAUUUGCAGAAUUUUGGUUUAGCUGUAAUGUGUGCGUGUCUAUGGUACAGAAAGCUUGUAAAUUCUGGUGCUUUACACUUCCCAGUGUGUAAACUGCAGCUAAGCCCGCUGGAUUUAACUUUUAUAUCCUUAGUUUAAAUGGAAAAAUACAGGCGAGUUUGAAAAAAACAAAAACAAAACCCUUAAAAAAUACACAGAGCAUCAGAAACUUUACAUAACCACAUCGAUUAGUGGUCUGUAACCUUCGCUGGCGAGUGGGUACUGAUGGAAUAGUGUGUGGUUAACUCUUUCAUCCCCAGCAGGAGCAACGUGAAGAUUGAAUCCCAGGAUCCACAGUUCAGGAUGAGGUCUGUAAGUCACUAUUUCUCCCUUUGGUUCCAGAGAAGUGAUUCUCUGAAUGGAAGUUAAGGAAUUUGUGACGGUUUUCAGGAAACUUUGCCUUAGCCAGAUGUUGUAUUUGCAGUGUGAAAACAGGCUGUGUGGGAGAGCCAUGACUUGGAGUGGGGAAGGAGGAAUGUCUCAGGCUUAACACACAGCAUAUGCUCUCCUUGCAGAAUGGAUUGGGUGACUCUGGGUCUGUAUUGACUGCUUAAUCGUAGUGUUUCUAGUCUGGGGGUGGGUACACUGUUAGGUCAUGGUAACAGUGAUGAAUUUGAAGAGGAAGAGUGGCCAUUUAUUCAUCCUACUUUUCUCCCUCUCUCAAAGGAAGAGGAAGCAAUCAGGAUAGAUAGAGAGUUGUGCUUGGAAGCAGUGGAAGAAAGCUGGUAGUAUUCUAGAGAGAUGUGAGGAGCAGAACUCAGGAAAGAGUGUUGGAUUUCAAAGGAGCACAGGUUGAUAAGAGCUGUCAAGCUUGGCCAGGGCAAGCUGUGUGGGUACUGCUGGAUGAUGCGCUCCAGAGACAGAGUGUGGCAUUGGUCAGCCACCUUUCAGCAUCCUCAGUGCAGGGAAUUUCUGUUUAGUUUUGCUGUUUUCUUAAUCCCAAUGGACCAGGAGAUAUCUGGAUGACAACAGUUUCACAGGUUUCUAUAAAGGUCUUACAUCUGUUUUCCCAACACAUAAAAAAAGAUUUGCUCUUAUAUUUCUGCUCGGGGUUUCUGAUGCUCCCCUCUGCUGUCACUGCUUUUACAGAGCAAAAGUAGCGCAAAGAAUCUGGAAGAUGAUGGACACAGUGUGUACUGCAUGCUCCCACUGAGCUUAUGGACAGCCAGAAAAGCUGUAGAUGAAGUGGAAGAGUGAUGGUCUGCUGCCAAGAGCUGCAGCAUUGGAGAAUGUGUCUGUGGCAUUCAUGUGGUCAGAAAGUCAUACCAACUGUCUCCUCCCCAGACUCACAGAUUCUUCUCAGAAAGGGUCAUGUUUUCUGUUUUCCAGGCAUUUAAACACAUAGAAGGCAUUUUCUUGUUUCCUUGCUUUCCACAAUUCUGCAAGCAGAGUUUAUAUAUACAUACAUACAUAUAUAUAUAUAACCAUUUUUGAACUUGCUGCGCUUUCCUUCUACCCCUUGAUCUUUAUUGUUUCAGUAGAUCCCUUUUCAUUCUGUUGUAUGGUGUAUAUUUUUUAGGUUUAGAAGCUGUACUUAAUUCUUAUUUCAGAAGAUGGCUCUUCUCAGAAUGAAAAGCAGAUUGCUAUGAAGGCAAUGAUUUGAUCCUUGUGGUUUGCUGUGAGCCUCGUAGCCUCUAGUGUAAACCUAUUGGAUCUUGUUUAACAGAGAAGCAUAGAAAGUACCACCCAUGCAAAUGCUGCUCAGAAACAUCUACCAGGGAGAAAAAAGCUUCUGUAAGUAAAAGUAUUGUAUGACCUCUCAUUAUUAAAACAGACGCAGUGUAUUUGAGGGUAUAUUUAUACUGUGUUGAUUCUUAGAAGUUCCACUCAUUGACCAACGGCCACUCUUCUGGUUGUUGCAGUGUCAGGUGGGCACUGCCAUCCUGUUGUGCUCUCUUUAUGUGUGUUGCAAUCUUUAUUUUUUACUAAGGGAUUUACAAAAGCAGCUGACAUCCUGACAGAACCAGACAGUUCUAAAAUAUUACGGUUAAUAGAAAGUAACCAUAUUGUUCAUUGGGUCUGGAAAAAUAGAAAUUAGGAAAAUAAGGUCUUUCUAAUGAAUGUUUUGGAUUGUGUACAGUCCAUCAAGGUAUCUCCUAUUAGAUGAGAUGACCUCCAGUGAAGAUCUUAUCCCUUCACGAAUUUGGAAUAGUUAUGGUUGGACCGGAUAAGAAAAGAAUACCUUUCUAUCAGAGAGCCCAUAAUUGGUGGUACCCAAAAGUGGGCCAAAGGCUUUGGCAUAUAUCUGUGUUUUCUGCCCUCUUGAAAAAAUGCCCUAUUUUCUCAGGCUUGCUUUUACACUUGGUAAAAAUUCUCUUCUUUGACCUUAGGUUUACACUUCUCACAUUUUCCAGGUGCUUUCUCUGAUGAUAUUUUUAUUGGUGUAUUUGUGGUAAGUGUGUUCUUGAAUGUCCCACAGAGUCGGCCAGAUAUACAUUCUGUUACUGCUCUCAGUGCAGAUGAAAGCUUCAAAGAAAGGGUAAUUUUCAGUGCUGAAGAUAUACUUAGAGCUGCAACAGCUGGGAGAUGCAUCUGAGGGGAGCACUUGCUCAUCCCACAGCAAACCUAUAGGUUUAAUCCUGAAUCCAUAUACACAGUUUUGAUAAGGAAGCUUAGGUAUUGGGUAGAGGAUAGGAAAUAAUAGUUGUUCCAGAAUGGUGUGGACAUAGGUCCUGUUCUGUGUAUUCCAAACCAGAAGUGUUUUUCCUGCACUGCCCAUCUCUGUCUGCAUGACUGAGUCUUAUUUGUUCUACUGGGAUCCCUCUUGUUCCUGUGCAGCUGUAGCUGUAAGAGCUGACAUUUGCUGAUGAGCCACUUCUAAUUCAAAAAUUAGAAGAUUAACAAUGAGAUAAUUCAGUUAUCACAUUUAUGUAUUUGUUUAUACUCUUCUCUCAUUCACUGUAAUUGUAUCAGUAUCUGCUGAAGGUUUCAGCAUCCCUACCCUCACUACUUUUCUGUCAAGGCAAUAUUUAUCUGCAGAGAAAGGUGUCAGUGAGAAAGCAGGAUUUCCUAUAUAUCUGAGGACAGACCUGUUUUGUGUGCUGCAUUUGAUGGUGGUCAGUCACGUGCCCAGAGACGGGUACAAAAGAGGUUAGCAAACAGUCGCUUUGCAGGCAUUUGUUGCUCAGGGGUUUUCUGAGGCAAUUAGCCUGCAGUAGUCAUUUGUUGCAUUUAUUUGUUGUUCCCAAUCAAGUAGGUUUUGGUAUAUGCCACAAUGUCUGGCGACACGCUUUUUUUCUCUGUGCAACAUGUGAAGAACAACUUCUUGUUUGCUUUUUUUUUUAACUUGCCACUCAUUAAUUGCAUUGGAUGUAUUUUGGAUCAUGUUCCGACAAAGCCAAUAUCCUCUUUUUCUCCAUGCAACUUUUUGUUCAGUGGGACCGUGCCAACUUUUCCUCCAGCAUCUCUCUGCCUUCCCCACGUCUCAGUCACACCAGGGACUUUGUACUGAUUUUUGAUGCUAUAUUUGGUGUGUGAUGUGAUAGUCCUAAUUUCUAGCUAAAGAGCAUCUACCAAUGAUUAUGUACAGUGUUCCUUAAAGUAACAAAAAAAUCACUAGCGUGGAACGUUCUGGUUUGCAUGUCUCCAUAUAUGAUGGAGAGCUUUGUUCAGAGUUCUGGCUGUAAAUUCAUACCAGUACCCUAAAUCCCCGCUAUCAGUGUCUUUGGGGUGAAACCCAGUCCUUGUGUCAGAAUAAUCCCUCCUCGCGCAAUCAUGUUGCCCUCUGUUGGUUAGCUUUGAUUCAGAAUGUUCCCAGGCUCGCUAAUUACCAGAGGGCUUAUUUAAAUUCCUGUGGAAGAGGCCUCAGUGUUUUACUCUGCAAUGCUCUGGUUCCUGUGCUGGCUGAGGGGUGCAUCCGUGCUUUCAGAGGAAAGGGUGGAAGCCUCUUUGUAGGUUGUGGUUGCAACCGUGUUCAUUUAUAAAGCUGGGUUUGAUUUCUCUUAACGAACGCACGUAUUAAGGUCUGGAAUUCGUCGGUGUCAAGGUCAGUUAUUGAGAAGUUUGCAUUGCCUUUUUUUGAAGAAUUGAUCUGAAAGCAGCUAGAAUCAGAACUUCUUUUCCUGUGGGUUCAAUGUUUAUGUGCACGUAGCUUCCCAGUGGAUUCACAGGGAUGCCUGGUAAAGCCAGAUGGCACAAAAAAAGCCUACAGAAAGAAAAGAAGGCAAAAAGAAUGCUAGUUGCAUAGGGAGACAUGAAAAACCUCUCCCUCUAAAUGCUGGAAAAUGGUUUUAUUAUAAACACAGAUACUCUGAUGAAUUGAAAGGUUGGUGAGGAAGGAAGAUGAGAAUUUUUGGGGGCAGCAGAACAUUUUUCUUGUUGACUGAUUAAUCUGGAACUGCUCUGAAUGCAAAUGGAUUUCUGGGAUCCUCCCGCUUUCUCAAAUACAUUCUGACUGCAUCUGACUGGUAAUGUGUUCAGGAUGAUUUUCUCAUAAGAUACAACUGAAGACCAAAGGUGAAGGAGGAAGACCGUGGCAGAGCUAGGACUAGCUUUCUUCUUUAGAGGGGUGAAUUGGAACGCUGGUCAGCAUGCUGCAGUGACUUGCAGACACGUUCAUCAAAGUCCUUGUACCUAAAUAGGCUAUGGAUAAUGAAGACGAUGUGGUCUCUUGGCACAAGAAUUUAUGAAACAACCCAUAAAGACCCACGGUACAGCAAUCUAAGGAGCAAACUCAAGAUGUUUGAUUGAGCAAUGCGUGUGCAUUUAUUCACACCUGGAAAGAACAGCUUUCUGUGUCAUUACAUGCAGUGUGAGAAUUUCAUGUAUUGAUCUCUGUAUAUACAUCACCUGAGGUUCCUUUAUUCUCUUGGUAAAACUUGCCAGGUGUGAUGCUGUUUGGAGGUCCUUUCUGUACCAGAUGAGGCACUGAGUGUUGAAGCAAGCAUCCCUCCUGGCCUUGUUUCGGACCUUGUCUAGAGAUACAGUACUGCUGCCUAAAGCUGUUAAGCUUAACCAAAGCCAUGGAUGUGACUGUUAUUUGGCAGAUAAAAGGAGUGAAAGGAAGGAGAGAAGAUAGCAGUGUGGUGUCUUUUUACUUUCUUUACAGUCUGCUUAAAUUUCUCAUCUGCUGUAAACCUCAGACUGAAAUUCUGCAGCGUGGGGAUGCACCGAAGUAGUGCUGGAUAAUAACUUAAUAAAAUAGAAGUAACGAAAGGGGAAUAAAAUAGCUCCCAAACAGUUAAGAGUGGGAUUCUGGUUUGUGUUGGAUCCUUGUCCUGAAAGCUUGGAGUGCUCAGAUCCACCUGAAGGAUCAAAAGUGUCCUCAAGCCCUUAAAUAGAUGACUCGGAAAUAGCUGAAAUGUGUUUCAUUUUAUGGUAAGUUUAAUGUUUCCAAUCUCAGUGCAAUUUACAAUUACAAUAAAUAUCACCAAAAAAUUAAUGUGGCCACUUCAAAUACAAAGGAACGACAGAGUGUAAUCUGAGAAAAUUUUAUCAACAUGCAAUUUCCUUAACAAAAACACCAAUGUAUCAUUUCAGCAUGCUGAGAAAUAUUUAUCUUUUGGGACAGCAAAAUCAUUUGCAGAACGUUUUAACUGCUAAAUAAAUAUUUUACUGGCAACUUCUGAGGCAUCAUAAAUGCAGUCAAUAUAAACAAAGCAAUGUGGAAUCCAGCUCCGGUCUCAGCUGCAAUGACUGUUGGCCACUUCGUGGUAACACAGGGCUCUGGGAUGCAUUUGGCACAGUCUCAGCAUUUCAAAUAUCUGAUUUGUUGGGUUUUUUGUUUUUUUCCCCUGCUAUAUAAGCAAGUUUGCUUAGUUUAUCUGAAGGCUCUGGCAAUGGAAGGCAUGGCGAGCUUUCAGUAUUAGGGAUGCAACUGUUUAGCAUUUAACAGAAACUCGUCUUUUCACAGUUAAAUCACAUUUUUUUUUAAUUGAAUCCUGUGCUUAUGAAAAAUACUGGAUCUGCAGCCUCAGACUGUCUGCUUGGCUGCAGAACAAGAACAUCAUGGCCAUGCUUGCUUGAACUUCCUCGUGGGCCCCUGCCAACGUGCUUCACCUCUGACCUGUAGCUGAGUUUUUAAAUGUCUUUUUUAUCUGUAGUCUCUUCCCAGACCGCCCCACUGAAAUGGCACUUCUAAGGAUGAUUUCAGCAAGUUUCAUCUGUGCACUGGAAGCAGAAACUUGUUGCAUGGAGGCAGCUGAAGAAUUACUUAUUCAUUACCAUGAGCGUCACUGCAGUCUUUACUGUCAAGGACUGCCGGUCACAUUUCCUCACAUCAACUCUGGGACAGAGCUAUGAUUUGUUGUAUUGCUAUUGGCCAUUUUAAGUGAUAGCUACCUGACUAAGCUAGGUAAUAAUUGCCUAUUUGUCACUAUAGGUGCUCACUUUGUGUUAUUUGUGUCUAAUAUACAAUGGCAUUAUGCUCCUAUUGAAUAUUUAUUGAAAAGCACAUCAAAUAUUUGAAGGCCUGUAAAAGUGUUCAUCUUCUAAUUUAUCAAAGGAUCUCUGUUGGCAGUCAUUGGUUUCAGUGCUGUAGUGGUUUCUUGCCUGCUCUAAUGUGGUGUUCUACCUGUUUGUCAGACAUUGCUGUUAAGCAAGUAACUGGUGAUAGCUGGAUAUCCUUCCAAGCUUAGGAAGAAGUUAUUGGCUGAAGCUGUUCUCCUUAUUAAUUUGACUCCUCAGAUUUAUGUGUCUGCAAAUGAUUUUCUUCUUACCUCUGGCAGCUCCAGAAGAUAAUCCAGAAAUUAACUUUUCUUUGUAAAGAACUUCAUAGGACGUUUUAGGAAAACGUGAAUAAAUAAAUGCUUAGUAGGUAGUUUGAGAUACCCUCAGCUCCUCUGGAUGCAAAGCAUUUACCACUGUGAUCUGACUUCUGUCAGUUCUUCAGGAGUGUUACUAUCUUUGCACAUUCAUCUCCUACUUCUAAAGAGAUCUUUUAGCACACAAAGCAGGAAAUGUAAGAAAACAGACAGGAUUUCCAAAGACAAGUUAGUCAUUUCACUGCAGAGUCUGGCCUUUGUUCCACGUCCAUAACAAGGCAGUGGUCUUUAAAACACGGUUGAAAAUUAGAGGAGAUGGCAUAAACGUUUGGUAAUUGCAGAGAGCCAGGGUGGUUCCUGCGUGGGCUGUUAGUGACUGGCUGAAAACUGCUGCAGAAUGCAGUCUGUUGCUUGCUUAAUGCACCAUGAGCGUUCUCUGCAUAAGUAUCUUAAUUCACACAUCUAAAGGAACUCAGCCUGGGUUUAGCUGGGUACUUGUUAGCAACUUCUUCAGAAAUAAAGGGGUGGAAACUGUACCAUCAUCUGUGGCUGGAAGGUGAAGAUUUACUUAAAGCACUUCGGCUGAGGGGCAUCGAGAAAUGAGCACUGCUGCUGCCUGCAGGAGAGGACUCCAGCACUGCAGGGACACAGAACCUCAGGGAAGUCAUGCUGAGGAAAUGAUUCAUUUAACCUGCAGCUAUAUAGUUUGUAGAAGGUAAAGGCAAUAGGUGUGAAGAAAUGUUUGCUCAGAGCUGUGCUUUAUAUAGGUUCCAUCCUGGAUAACGUAUAUGAUAAUAUACUGAUAUGAGUAUAUCUCCUCUACAGCAUGCCAUGUUCUGACGUACUUGGGUGGCAUUUAGUGUACAGAUUACUCCUCCAUUCACAGACACGGACUUUCCCUAGGUUAUCCACGUGUUCUGUAUUACAUUUCAGGGCUCACAGUUUAAUCUUUUCAUAAAUAAAGCUGUAGCCUUUUCUGGUAGCGAGAGAGGAAGCGAGGAAGAUUCCCUGCCCUUGAGGACCGAGCGUGGCUCUCAGUCCCCAGAAGGCUGGGAUUUUGAGCUGGCUAUUACCAAGUGUAAAAUGAAACACCUGUGUGCAGCAGCAUGCCAAGGCUGAGCCACCUGCAGCACACCUGCUAACUGCCUCACUGCAGUCGGGUCUGGGCGACGUGAAUCAUCUGAUUUCAUAUCUGUAAUUGAACAAAAGGUACGGGUUAUAGCUGAGCUCUUAUCCAAAAAAGAAGAGUUAACGCUGUAAAUACGCAUCUCUGUAAACAGAGAAACUUCUUUCCUGUUCUCAUUGAAUGGCAUGCUGUGAAACCAGAGUUGG
ensembl:lncRNA